rnacentral:tRNA from 1 species
GCGGGUGUGGUGGAAUUGGUAGACGCGCUGGACUCAAAAUCCAGUUCUGGUGACAGAGUGCCGGUUCGACCCCGGCCACCCGCACCA